CGACUCCGAAGGUAAUCGUCUGGACACAAGCAAAGCGCCCUGGGGCUGCGCUCCGACCUCAAAACCCCUCCCGAAAGAAGCCCCCGCCUUUUUUCCCAGCUCGCCCACCUCCCUGCCGGCCCCUCUCGGGCCGCGCCACUCCGGCAACUUCUGCAGCCAGCCCGCCCGCCGCCCGCGACCCCCUCCCGGCCCAGCGAGCCCUCCGCGCCCUCCCCCCCGCGGCGGCGGCCCCCGCGCCGCCCGCGCCUCCGCGCCGCCCGCGCGGGUCCUCGCCCCCUUCCCCCGAGGCCCCCGCCCGCGGCACCGCCCCCGCCGCACCCCACCCAGCCCGGGACCCCAGCCCACCCGGCCCCACCCGGGAAGGAGGGAGCCGCGGCCGCGCCGGGGCCCGCGAGCGCCAACACGGAGAGGGCUUUACCUCAGAGGCGCGGCCGCGAGCAGCGGGGUCGGUCCCGGGCGCGGGCGGCGCCCCCCGGUCCGUCAGUCAGCGGCGGCGGGGGCAGCGGCGGCGACGGCACAUCACACCCGCCGGGGCCGGAGGAGGAAAGCGAGCCGCGCAGGGAGGGAGCGAGCGAGAGAGCGAGGUAGGGGGGAAGGAACGAGCGAGGGAGGGAACGCCGCUCGGCUCGGACUCGGUCCCUGCACUACUGCCGGUGCCUCCUACCGCCGCCUCUGGCCGGAGAGUCGCCGCCCGAGUCGCUGCUGUCGCCACCGAUGCAGCCGGGAAUGAAUGCACAGCGGCGCCUCACUUAUCCGGAGGUCAAACAUCCUUCUGCCUCGGGCAUCCGGAUCGGCGCCGGACCCGGAAGUGAACACAUGGAAAAAAAAUAAAAAAGGAAAGCGUCUCUCUAGCGGCGGCUGCCCCGGAGCUGCCCGCAUCGACGAAAAGAGCCGAGUAGAGCCGAACAUUACACUGACGUGCUCGGAUUGGUCGGCUUGCUGACCGGAAGAAAGGCAGCACGCUGAUUGGCUGGCAAGGUGCUGCCUUUGUCUGGUUUUGGUAUCAGAGAAAUACUGGCCUCAUAAAAUAAGUUGAGAAUUGUCCUCUCCUCUUCUGUUAUCUGGAAGAGAUUGUGUAAAAUUGGUAUUAAUUCAUCUUUAAAAGAGGUACUGCUACUGGUCCCUCCUCAUCCCCACCUCUACCUGCUGUCCUGGUGUUUCUGGGUGAGGGAGGAGAGUCUCAGGCCUGUAGGGACAAAGAGGCUUCCCAGACCAGUCUACUGGGUCUCUCCUGCUAACUCUGCCUACCUACCUCAGGAUCUCUCAAUGGAAAAAGGGAGUACCAGCAGAGAAGGCGAGUACCUCCUCUGGUCGCAUAUUUCUGGCAAUCCAUCCCCCUUGCUGGUGGUGUCAGGUUCACUUGAUGUUAUCAGAGGGCCUCCAGUGUGAUCUGGGGAAGGAAUGAGCCUAUCUGGGCUGCCUUCUAUUCUAGGUUGAAACUUAAGAAACUCCUGGUCUGUGUGGCCUUCCUCUGUUGGGUAGGGGUACAUGAGACACCCUGCAACUGUGUUGUUCCUGCAAUCCUGGGGUCCCAAACCACCUUGCAUUCUUCUAACCACAUUUCACAUUUCUCUCUUGAUUGUCUUUUACGCCAAUUCUGUGAUUUAUAGUUGUACUUAGCAGGGAGAAGCAGGGAAAAACAAGUCUACACCAUCUUGUCCUGCUUGGAAGUGACUUUCACUUUUCACAGAUGCACAAGGACUCACUCAGUUCCAAAAGGUCUUGAAUUACUUGAAUUCUGUAUAAGCAGACAAGGAUUUAACAUGAAGAUGAGAAAGAAGAGGAGACAGAACCAUUCAUCAUUGACUUGAUCUCAACCUGAUACAGCACAAAUGGACAAAGAGGAAAAGCAAACCAACAACAUGAAACAGGGAACAAAGUUCUUUUCUUUGUAAUAGCUGCUGGCCAGCUUGUCUUUUCUUGAUAUUUACCUCUCUGCUUUAUGUUUUAUAUCUAACAUUGUGUUACAUGGAUUGCGAAAACUUUGUGAAACUUGGAGAGCAACUGUAGAGUUCAAUCAAACAGUUGAUUCAAAAAGAAGUUUGGCUCAAACUGUUGGGCAAGCACAGAACAUUAUAUCAUUCACCAGCUGUAGAUUAAAUGAGACAUCAGGAUGGUGAUUAGCAAUAACCUGUGUUUGUUCCUUAUUACCUUAUCUUCCUUCUUUUCUUUUCAGUCAUCAUUUGUGUGCAUUACCCACGUGGCUUCCUUAAGAAGCGUUACAUGAGUAUUAUUUCGUACCCUGAAGAGAAACUAUUUUGAUUCCAUAUACUUAUUAUUGAUCAAAUUCCACCAGUGAAAGUGAAAAAUACUAUUUAUUGAAACUCCUUAUUGAAAUUUCAUUUAAA
rnacentral:lncRNA from 1 species